UACAGAGGUCUCAAGUGUUGUUCGGAUUCAUUGGGCGUAAAGGGUGCGUAGGCGGCGCGGUAAGUCGGGUGUGAAAUCUCGGGGCUUAACUCCGAAACUGCAUUCGAUACUGCCGUGCUUGAGGACUGGAGAGGAGACUGGAAUUUACGGUGUAGCGGUGAAAUGCGCAGAUAUCAGGAGGAACACCGGUGGCGAAGGCGGGUCUCUGGGCCGAAAUUGACGCUGAGGAGCGAAAGCGUGGGGAGCAAACAGG
rnacentral:rRNA from 1 species